AACAGCUGUAAUCUCACAGAGAAAUGCUGUGAGUCACUGGCUUCAGCUCUCAGAUCAAACUCCUCACCCCUGAGAGAGCUGGACCUGAGUGACAAUGACCUGCAGGAUUCAGGAGUGAAGCUGCUCUCUGCUGGACUGGGGGAUUUGCACUGUAAACUGGAGACUCUGAGGCUGUCAGGCUGUAGAGUCACAGAAGAAGGCUGUUCUGGCCUGGCUUCAGCUCUGAGGUCAAACCCCUCACACCUGAGAGAGCUGGACCUGAGCUACAAUCACCCAGGAGACUCAGGAGUGAAGCUGCUCUCUGCUGUACUGGAGGAUCCCAGCUGUAAACUGGAGAAGCUGAAUGUGGAUUACGGUGGAGAGUGCAGGACCAGACCAGGCUUACAGAAAUACUCCUGCCAGCUGAUACUGGACCUCAGGACAGCACACAGACGCCUGUCUCUGUCAGAGGGGAACAGGAAGGCGACAUGGGGGACAGAGGAGCCAUAUCCUGAUCAUCCAGAGAGAUUUGACCGCUGUUACCAAGUUCUGUGCAGAGAGAGUCUGACUGGUCGGUGCUAUUGGGAGGCUGAGUGGAGUGGA